UGGUGAGGAAGAUAAUGACGGUACUCAACAAGGAAGUGACGGCUAACUACGUGCCAGCAGCCGCGGUAAAACGUAGGUCACAAGCGUUGUCCGGAAUUACUGGGUGUAAAGGGAGCGCAGGCGGGAGAACAAGUUGGAAGUGAAAUCCAUGGGCUCAACCCAUGAACUGCUUUCAAAACUGUUUUUCUUGAGUAGUGCAGAGGUAGGCGGAAUUCCCGGUGUAGCGGUGGAAUGCGUAGAUAUCGGGAGGAACACCAGUGGCGAAGGCGGCCUACUGGGCACCAACUGACGCUGAGGCUCGAAAGUGUGGGUAGCAAACAGGAUUAGAUACCCUGGUAGUCCACACCGUAAACGAUGAUUACUAGGUGUUGGAGGAUUGACCCCUUCAGUGCCGCAGUUAACACAAUAAGUAAUCCACCUGGGGAGUACGACCGCAAGGUUGAAACUCAAAGGAAUUGACGGGGGCCCGCACAAGCAGUGGAGUAUGUGGUUUAAUUCGACGCAACGCGAAGAACCUUACCAAGUCUUGACAUCCCUUGACGAUGCUGGAAACAGUAUUUCUCUUCGGAGCAAGGAGACAGGUGGUGCAUGGUUGUCGUCAGCUCGUGUCGUGAGAUGUUGGGUUAAGUCCCGCAACGAGCGCAACCCUUAUGGUCAGUUACUACGCAAGAGGACUCUGGCCGGACUGC
rnacentral:rRNA from 1 species